rnacentral:lncRNA from 10 species
UUCUUUUUCCUAAGAAAAUGGAGAAGUAGAAAACAUAGUAUUCAAAUUUCAAAUUUUUUACCCCCAAAAAGUGAGAAACGGAGACUGUGCAUAAGAUAGCAAUAAUCUAAUAAGAUAUUUGCCUCAUCCUAGCUAAAAUGAGUUUAUCUGGUAUACGAAUAUGAGAGAAAAGAAUCAGACAUACUAGUUAUCUGACAUAGCCACAAAAAAACAACUGACAGAAUUUUACUUAGUGGUAAUAAAGAUGUAUAAGGACUAAUAAACUUCACAACUGUGUUAUGUUUAGAUGAUGUAAGAUAUCACCAUAUUAUAAAGAAUACAGUAUUCAAUAAACACCUUAUCUUUAGAGGGCCUCUCCUUGCAGUAUCUGUUGAUAUCUCUUUUGUCAUCUCGUUUGGUCAUUUCUUCCUCAUCCCUAUCUGUAAAAUAAAUAUAACAGUGGCAAAAAAGUCAUUAAUACACAUACUUUCAAGUGGGCACAGUGGCACAUGACUGUUAUCCCAGCUACUCAGGAGGGCCAGGCGUUCGAGGGUGUAGUGAGCUAUGACUAUACCACUGCACUCCAGUCUGGGUGACAGAUCAAGACCCUGUCUUUUAAACAACAACAACAAAAACAUAAAGAGAAAACCUUAUGCUAAAACAUACAUGAACCUUGAUAACAGGCUAAGUAAAAGAAGCCAGUCACAAAAAAAUCACUUAUCGUGUUAUUCCAUUUAUAAGAAAUGUCCAGAAUAUCUACAGAAACAAAAAGCAGACUAAUGGUUGCCUAGGACUGAAGAGGUUCAGGGAAGAUGGGGAAUGGCUGCUAAUCAAUCUCUUUUGGGUUCUUGGUAUGAGGGUGAUAAAAAUGUUCUAUAGUUAAUUGUGGUGAUGGUUGUACAACUCUGAAUAUAUUAAAAACCACUGACUUGCAUACAGGCACAACUUGGGAGUUACUGAAGGCUCUGGUUCAAGACCACCCCAAUAAAGCAAGUACUGCAAUAAAGCUAGUCAAACAAAUUUUUUGGUUUUCCAGUAGAUAAAUUAUGUUUACAGCCAGGUACAGUGGCUCAUGCCUGUAAUCCCAGCACUUUGGGAGGCUGAGGCAGGUGGAUCGCUUGAGCUCCGGAGUUUUAAACCAGCCAGUGCAACAUGGCAAAACUCCAUCUCUACAAAAAAAUACAAAAAUUAGCCAGGCAUGGUAGCACACGCCUGUAGUCCCAGUUGCGCAGAGGGCUGAGAUGGGAGAAUCACUUGAGCCUGGGAUGGUGAAGCUUCAGUGAUCCAUGUUCAUGCUACUGCACUCUGGCCUGGAAAACAAAGCGAGACCCUGUCUCAAAAAAAAAAAAAAAGUUAUAGGGCCGGGUGCGGUGCCUCACGCCUGUAAUCCCAGCACUUUGGGAGGCCGAGGUGGGCGGAUCACGAGGUCAGGAGAUCGAGACCAUCCUGGCUAACACGGUGAAAUCCCGUCUCUACUAAAAAUACAAAAAAUUAGCCUGGCAUGGUGGCCGGCGUCUGUAGUCCCAGCUACUCGGGAGGCUGAGACAGGAGAAUGGCGUGAACCCAGGAGGCGGAGCUUGUAGUGAGCCGAGAUUGUGACACUGCACUCCAGCCGGGGUGACAGAGCGAGACUCCAUCUCAAAAAAAAAAAAAAAAAAAAGUUAUGUUCACACUAUAAUCAAGUGUGCAAUAAUAGCAUUAUGCCUUAAAAAAGUACAUAUAUUAAAAGAUACUUUAUUUCUAAAAACACUAACAAUCACCUGAGCCUUUGGCAAGCAGUAAUCCUUUUGCUGGUAAAGGAUCUUGCCUCAGCCUGGGCAACAUAAUGAGACCCGGUCUCUACAAAAAUAAUUUAAAAAAUGAGUCAGACUAAGUAGCGCAUGCCUGCGGUUCCAGCUACUUGGGAGGCAGACGUGGGAGGAUCACUUGGGUCCCAGAGCUUGAGGCUGCAAUGAGACAUGACUGCACCUCUGCACUCAGCCUGGGUGAAAAGUGAGACCCUAUGUGAUGCUGUUUGAUAGCAUCUGACCCACAGAAUAACCUCUUUUAAAAUUAGAGUCAAUCGCCGAACAUGGUGGGUCACGCCUGUAAUCCUAGCACUUUGGCAGCCCGAGGCAGAUGGAUCACUUAAGGUCAGGAGUUUGAGACCAGCCUGGCCAACAUGGUGAAACCCCAUCUCUAAAAACACAAAAAUAAGUGGGGUGUGGUGGCGUGUGCCUGUAGUCCCAGAUACUCAGGAGGCUGAGGCUGGAGAAUUGUGUGAACCCGGGAGGCAGAGGUUGCAGUGAGCCGAGAUCACGGCACUGCACUCCAUCCUGGGCGACAGAGCAAGACUCCAUCUCAUAAAUAAAUAAAUAUAUAAAUAGAGUCAAUCCCCUCCAAUCCUGCCACUGCUUAAUUAAGUUUACAUAAUAUUCUAAAUCCUUUGUUAUUUCAACAAUGUUAACAGCAUCUUCACAGAAGCAGAUUGCAUCUCAAAAAAACACUGUCUUUGCUCAUCCAUAAGAAGCAAACAAUUGGCCGGGCGCAGUGGCUCACGCCUGUAAUCCCAGCACUUUGGGAGGCUGAGGUGGGCGGAUCACGAGGUCAGGAGAUCGAGACCAUCCUCGCUAACAUGGUGAAACCCCGUCUCUACUAAAAAUACAUAAAAAAAAUUUGCCAGGCGUGGUGGCGGCCGCCUGUAGUCCCAACUACUCAGGAGGCUGAGGCAGAAUGGCGUGAACCCAGGAGGCGGAGCUUGCAGUGAGCUGAGAUCGCGCCACUGCACUCUAGCCUGGGCGACAGAGCAAGACUCCAUCUUCAAAAAAAAAAAGCAGCAAACAAUCAUCAGUUUAGUUUAUCCUGAUAUUGCAGCAGUUCCAUCCCAUCUUCAGGCUGCAUUUCUAAUUUUAGUUCUCUUGCUCUAUCAUACCUGCAGUUAUUCCCUCUACUGAAUUAUUGAACCCUUCAAAGUCAUCCAUGAGAAUUUUUAGUAGAGUUGGGGUUUCACCAUGUUGGCCAGGCUGGUCUCGAACUCCUGACCUCGUGCCUUCCUCAGCACUCAAGAGUAUGGGAUAUCCCCAGGGCUGGACCAGAUCCUAGAACUUCAGAAAGACAUGGAUGAGGCCAGGAACGGUGGCUCACGCCUGUAAUCCCAGCACUUUGGGAGGCCAAGGCAGACAGAUCACGAGGUCAGGAGAUCGAGACCAUCCUGGCUAACGUGGUGAAAUCCUGUCUCUACUAAAAACACAAAAAAUUAGCCAGGCGUGGUGGUGGCUACUCAGGAGGCUGAGACAGGAGAAUGGCAUGAACCUGGGAGGCGGAGCUUGCAGUGAGCCAAGAUCGUGCCACUGCAUUCCAGCCUGGGCAACAGAGCAAGACUCCGUCUCAAAAAAUAAAAAAUAAAAAUAAAUAAAUAAAUAAAUAUUUAGCUGGGCAUGGUGGCUCAUGCCUGUAAUCCCAGCUACUUGGGAGGAUGAGGUGGGAGAUAAUUUGAGGCCAGGAGGUCCAAGGCUGGAUUGAGCCAUGAUCACGCCACUGCAUUCCAGCCUGCAUGACAGAGUGAAACCCUGUCUCAAAAAAAAAAAAAAAAAAAAGAGUAAAGUGAAAUUACUCUCUGAUCCAAGGGCUGCAGAAUAGAUGUUGCAGCCAUGAAACAUUAAUCUCCUUGUACAUCUCCAUCAGAGCUCUGGGUGACUAGGUGUGGUGUCAGUGAGAAGUAAUAUUUUGAAAAGAAUCUUUUUUUCUGAGCAGAUCUCAACAGCGGGCUUAAAAUAUUUAGUAAAAACGUCGGUUACAUGAUAAAGGAGUAAAAAAAAAUUCAGUAAAGCAUUGCUGUAAACAAUUGUCAUUCUCACUUUGUUCAAUUUCUAGGGCACAGGUACGGUAGGUUUAGCAUAAUUUUUAAGGGGCUUAAGAUUUUUGGAAUGGUAAAUGAGUACUGGCUUCAGCUUAAAGUCACAAGCUGCAUUAGCCCUAACAAGAAAGUCAACUUGUCCUUUGAAGCCAGGCACUGAAUGCUCUUCUCUAGCUGUGAAAGUCUUAAGAUGGCAUCUUCAGCCGAUGGAAGAAGGCUGUUUUGUCUCCAUUGAAAAUUUACUUAGCAUAGCCAUUUUCAUCAAUGAUCUUAGCUUCUACAUAAGCACUUGCUGUUUCAAUGUGCCUUUUUUUUUUUACCCGCCCCCAAGAGGCAGGGUCUUGCUCUGUUAACCAGGCUUGAGUGCAGUGGCGUAAUCAUAGCUCACUGCAGCCUUAAAUGCCUGGGCUCAAGCAAUCCUCCCACCUCAGCAACUACCUUGUACUUUUACCUUAAGGAGAUGGUUGCUUUCCUUAAACCUCAUGAAUCCACCACUGGUAGCCUCAAACUUUUUUCUAUAGCUUCUUCAUCUUUCUUAGCCUUUAUAGAAUUGAAGAGAGUUAGGGCCUUGUUCAGAAUUAGGUUUUGCCUUAAGGGAAUGUUGUGACUGGUGUGACCUUCUAUUCUGACCCCUAAAACUCUCUCCUUAUAGCAAUAAAGCUGUUUCAUUUCCUCACCAUUUGCAUGUUCACUGGAGUAGCACUUUGAGUUUCCUUCAAUAACUUUUCCUUUGCAUUCACAACAUGGCUAACUGACGCCAAAAAAACUAGCUUUUGGCCUAUCUCAACUUUCAACAUGCCUUCUUCACUCACUUUAACGAUUUUUAGGUUUCACUUGAACACUCCAAGGCCAUUUUGGGUUUUUUCUUUGUUAUUAUGAUUAUUAUUUUUGAGACAGAGUGUUGCCCUGUUGCCCAGGCUGGAGUACAGUGGCACAAUCAUGACUCACUGCAACCUCAACCUCUUGGGCUCAACAGAUCCUCCUACCUCAGCCUCUAAAAGUAUCUGGGACCACAGGGGCAUGUAACCACACCAAUUUUAUUUUUUUUUGUAGAGAUGGGGUAUCACUAUGUUGCAGAUGCUGGUCUUUACUCCUAGCCUCAAGUGAUCCCACCUCGUUAUCCUCCCAAAGUACUGGUAUUACAGUCAUGAACCACUGAGCCCAGCCUAAUUAUUAAUUGGCCUAAUUUCUUUUUUCUUUGGAGACGGAGUCUUGCUCUGUUGCCCAGGCUGGAGCGUAUGGCAUGAUCUCAGCUCACCGCAACCUGCAUCCUGGGUUCAAGUGAUUCUCCUGCCUCAGCCUCCCGAGUAGCUGGGAUUACAGGUGCCCGCCACCACGCCCGGCUAAUUUUUGUAUUUUUAGUAGAGACGGAGUUUUACCAUGUUGGCAAUGCUGGUCUCAAACUCCUGAUCUCAGGUGAUCUGCCCACCUCAGCCUCCCAAAGUGCCGGGAUUACAGGUAUGAGCCACCGCACCUGUAAUUGGUCUAAUUUCUUUUCUUUUUUUUUGGAGACAGAGUCUCACUCUGUCACCCACGCUGGAGUGCAGUGGCGUGAUCUCAGGUCAUUGCAACCUCCGCCUCUCUGGUUCAAACAAUUCUCAUGCCCCCAGCCUCCCGAGUAGCUGGUAUUACAAGCGUACACCACCACACCUGGCUAUUUUGUGUAUUUUUAGUAGAGACAGGGUUUCGCCAUGUUGGCCAGGCUGGUUUCAAACUCCUAACCUCAAAUGAUCCACCCGCCUCAGCCUCCCAAAGUGCUGGGAUUACAAGCGUGAGCCACCGUGCCUGGCACAAUUGGCCUAAUUUCAAUGUUUUGUCUCAGGGAAUAGGGAGGCCCAAUAAGAGGGACAGAGAUAGGGGAAUGGCAGGUUGAUAGAGUGAUCAGAACACAAACAAUAUUUAUAAUUAAGCUCGUCAUCUUCUAUGGGCACAAUUCAAGGUGCACCAAAACAUGUAUAAUAGUAUUAUCAAAGAUCACUGAUCACAGAUCACCAAAACAGACAUAGUAAUAAUGAAAAAGCUGGAAAUACUGUAAGAAUUACCAAAAUGUGAAAGAAAGUCAAAGUGGCACAUGCUGUUGGAAAAGUGGUGCUGAUAGGCUUGCUUGGCGUAAGGCACUAUCUUUGGCGCACAAUAAAGUGCAGUGCAAAAAAAACAAAGCAUGCCUAUAAAGUGUCUACUUGUAUGGUAUGUGAAUUACAUUUCAAUAAAGGUGUUAUUAAAUAAAAAAUUAAGCAAAUGUUCUAAUGGCUGGGUGUGGUGGUUCAUACCUGUCAUCACAUCGCUUUGGGAGGGAAGCAGGAAGAUGGCUUAAGGCCAGGAGUUUGAGAUCAGCUUGGGCAUCAUAGUGAGACCACAUCUCUAUAAAAAAUUUAAAAAUUAGCCAGGUGUGGUGGUGCACACCUGUAGUCCUAGCUACUCAGGGAACUAAAGUGAGAGAAUCACAUGAGCCAGGAGUUCAAUGCAGCAGUGAGCCACGAGCGUGCUACUGCCCAGCCUGGGCAACAGAAUAAGACUGUCUUGAAAAAGAAAGAAUGAGAGGGAACUUCUCCUUGGAACCUAGUCAUUUACUUAUUUUUGAUGAUUGAAAAAUACUCACAAUAUAAUCCACAUUAUUUGGGUAUUUAUAUUGAGAGGUGUCACUUUCAAAACUGUCUCAUCCGAAACUUGUAUUUUUGAAAUAACUUUUGAAAUAUUCAAGUAGUAUUUAUUCAUCACAGAAAAUAAAUCAAUCCCACCACACAAAAUGAGAGUAGUGAUCAUGUCCUAUUUUUUCCCCAUAUAUACACACUUAUCAACACUAAAUUUAUUUAUAGAACAUGCUAUCUACAAAAACCCUUUAAAAAUCUUUUUCCAUGUCACUACACUUCUCCAAGUUUUCUUCAAUGGGUGCACAGAAUUUUAACUGCAUGACUAUAUUACCAAAGUACAAUUUAAUAAUUCUCUAUUCCUAUUCAGAUUGAUUCCAUAGUUUUGUUUUAUAAUAAAUUAUGGAAUGAUCACUCAUGUUGAUAUUUUAAAGGAUAUGGCUAAUUCACAUUUCCAAAUUUCUGUUCAGAAAAGGUAUAACAAUGUAUAGUCCCAAAGAAGAGUGAUGAAAGUGUAACUCCUUUUACCCUUGUUAAACUGUGUUACCUUUCAUUUAAAAAUUUAAUUUUCAUUAACUUGAUAAGAAAAAGAUAGGCCGGACGUGGUGGCUCACGCCUGUAAUCCCGGCACUUUGGGAGGCUGAGGUGGGCGGAUCACCUGAGGUCGGGAGUUCGAGACCAGCCUGGCCAACAUGGUGAAACCCUGUCUCUACUAAAAAUACAAAAAUUAACCGGGCAUGGUGGUGCAUGUCUGUAAUCUAAGCUACUUAGGAAGCUGAGGGCACGAGAAUCGCUUGAACCUGGGAGACAGGGGUUGUAGUGAGCCGAGAUCACGCGACGACACUCCAGGCUGGGCGACAGAGCAAAACUCUGUCUCAAAAAAAAAAAAAAGUAUCUUAUUGUUAUCUGCUCUCCUAAUUACUAACAAAAUUCAACACCAUUUAAUACAUUUACUGAUACUGUAUUUUCAUGUUAUAAUUCUGCUUUUGUAUUCUAAGAAGUGUAGUCUCAGCCAGGCACAGUGGCUCACGCCUGUAAUCCCAGCACUCUGAGAGGCCGAGGCAGGCGGAUCACAAGGUCAGAAGUUCAAAACCAGCCUGGCCAAUAUGAUGAAACCCCAUCUCUAAUAAAAAAACAAAAAAAUUAGCCAGGCGUGGGCCUGUGAUCCCAGCUACUCAGGAGGCUGAGACAGAAGAAUUGCUUGAAUCCGGGAGGCGGAGGUUGGAGUGAGCUGAGAUCGCACCAGUGCACUCCAGCCUGGUGACAGAGCGAGACUCCGUCUCAAAAAACAAACAAAAAAAGAGUAGUCUCCAGGAAACUUAACAGGAUCAUGAGAUAUAAAAUAUGAAAAAAAGUGGUAAAACAGAAGCAAGCAGCAAUUGGAAACUCCAGGGAAACAAACAAAAAACAACUAUAAUCCUAUCAACAUAUAUUUGGAGCCUAUUUAAUUAUUUAGACUGUUCCAGGAACUUGGAAUAUAUAUUAACAAAGAACACAGAUAAAAAUCUCUUUUUCUUACAUAACAGCUUUUAUUCAAGUGUAGGGGUAGAGGGAGACAGGCAAUGAGCAAAAUAAAGAGUAUGUAAUAAAAUAGGUCAUAAAUUCUAUGGAAAAAAAAAAAGGAGAGGAUAAGAGACCAGAAAUGUGCAGUAAGGGAGGGCGGGGGAUUGCAAUUUUAAAUAAAGUAGGGGGCACAGCAGGCUUCACUGACAAAGUGAUACUUGAACAGACUUCAUAUAUGAGAAACUAAGGAAGGUGGAUCUCCAGGAAAGACCCUGCUAGCAGAAAGAACUGCCAAUGUAAAUCUCCUAACAUAGAAGCAUAUGUGAGGGGUCCACUCUUCUCAAGAAGAGGGGUUAAGAGAUGUAACUGGAGACAUGACGUGGUAGAGUCUUGUAAGUCAUUGUGAGCACUAGCUUUUUCUUUUCUUUUCUUUUGAGAUGGAGUCUUGCUUUGUCACCCAGGCUGGAACGUAGUGGCACAAUCUCGGCUCACUGCAACCUCUGCCACCCGGGUUCAAGUGAUUCUCCUGCCUCAGCCUCCUGAGUAUCUGGGAUAACAGGCAUGUACCACCACACCCAGCUAAUUUUGUAUUUUUAGCAGAAGGGGUUUCACCAUGUUGGUCAGGCUAGUCUCGAACUCCUGACCUUGUGAUCCGCCUGCCUUGGCCUCCCAAAGUACUGGGAUUACAGGCAUGAGCCACCGCACCCGGCCUUCUUUUCAGACAGGGUCUUGCUUUAUUGUCGAGGCUGGAGUGCAGUGGUGUGAUCAUCGCUCACUGCAACCUCCGCCUCCCGGGCUCAAGUGAUCCUACCAGCUCAGACUCCUGAGUAGCUGGGAUUACAGGCAUGCACCACCAAGCCCGGAUACAUUUUUUAUUUUCUGUAGAGACACGGUGUCGUCAUGUUGCUCAGGCUGGUCUUGAACUCCUGAGCUCAAGUGAUCUGAACAGUGGCUUUUUUUUUUUUUGAGACGGAGUCUUGCUCUGUCACCCAGGCUGGAGUGCAGUAGUGCAAUCUCAGCUCACUGCAACCUCCACCUUCUGUGUUCAAGUGAUUCUCACGCCUCAGCCUCUUGAGCAGCUGGGAUUACAGGUGCGCGCCACCAUGCCCAGCUAAUUUUUUGUAUUUUUAGUAAAGACAGGGUUUCACCAUAUUGGCCAGCCUAGUCUGGGACUCCUGGCCUCAAAUUAUCCACCCGCCUCGGCCUCCCACAAAGUGCUGAGAUUACAGGCGUGAGCCACCAUGCCCAGCCUGAACAGUGGCUUCUUCUAUGAAGUAAAAAUGAUGGGGAUACACUGGAAGAAUUUGAACAAAAGAAUGAAAUAAAUUCUAAAUUUUGCGAAGAUCAUUCUGGCAAUUGUAUUGAGAAACUUUAUUGUAGAGGGGAGGAAACACGUAAACAGGUUAGGGGUCUAUUAAUAUAAUCUAGGCAAGAGAUAAUGUGGCUUGCAUUAUAGUCAAAUUAGUGGAAUUCGUAAGAAGUGGACUGAUUCUGGAUAAGUUAUGAAAACAGAGCAAAUAUAACUUCCUGAUAGAUCGGAAGUAGGGUACUGCAGAAAGAAAGGAAUCAAGGAUGACUCCUGGGUUUUAGUCUCAACAACUGGAAAGAUGGAAUUGUCAUUAAAUGAGAUGGUUGGCAAAGGCUAAGGUUGUAGGAUUUGUGUAUGUUUUCUUUCUGGUGAAGGGGUUAGCAGGAAUUUAGUUUCAGAUAUACUGAUUUUGAAAUGCCAGAUAACUAAGUGGAGGUGUCAAGUAGACAGUUCAAUAUGAGAGACUGGGAGAGAAGUCUGAUAUGAGAUAGAAAUUUGAGGCUUGGCACAUCCUUGUAAUCCCAGCACUUUUGGGAGGCCAAGGCAGAGGACUGCUUGAAGCCAAGGAGGUCAAGACCAGCCUGGGCAACAUACUGAGACCCCAUCUCUACAAAAAAUUAAACAGCUGGGUGCAAUGGCAUGCACCUGUAGUCCCAGCCACUCAGGAAGCUGAGGAGGAGGACUGCUUAAGCCUAGAAGUUUCAGGCUGCAGUGAGCUAUGACCAUACCACUAUACUCCAGCCUGGGUGACAGACCUUAUCUUUUUCUUUUUUACAGACGGAGUUUUGCUAUUGCUGCCCAGGCUGGAGUGCAAUGGCGUGAUCUCGGUUCACCGCAACCUCCGCCUCCUGGGUUCAAGUGAUUCUCCUGCCUCAGCCUCCCAAGUAGCUGGGAUUACAGGCAUCCGCCACCACGCCCAGCUAAUUUUUUGUAUUUUUACUAGAGGUGGGGUUUUCAAUAUGUUGGCUAGGCUGGUCUCGAACUCCUGACCUCAGGUGAUCCACCCACCUUGGCCUCCCAAAGUGCUGGGAUUACAGAUGUGAGCCACUGUGCCCAGUCCAACCCUAUCUCUUAAAAAAAAAAAAGAAAAGAAAAGAAAAGAAAAAGAAAAUUAGAAAUUUGAGAAUUAACAGUAUAUAGACAGCAUUUAAAGCUAGGAGAAUGGAUGAAACCAACAUUAAAGGAGUGAGAGGAAAAAAUAAACUAAGGCUGGGCUGGGGUCAGUGGCUCAUGCCUAUAAACCCAGCACUUUGGGAGGCUGAGGCGGGUAAAUCACGAGGUCAGGAGAUCAAGACCAUCCUGGCCAACAUGGUGAAACCCCAUCUCUACUAAAAAUACAAAAAUUAGGCUGGGCGCAGUGGCCCAUGUCUAUAACUCCAGCACUUUGGGAGGCCAAGACGGGAGGACCACCUGGUCAGGAGUUCGAGACCAGUCUGGCCAACAUGGUAAAACUCCGUCUCUACCAUAAAUACAAAAAUUAGCAAGGUGUGGUGCCACAUGCCUGUAAUCCCAGCUACUUGGGAGGCUGAGGCAGGAGAAUUGCUUGAAACUGGGAGACAGAGGUUGCAGUGAGCUGAGAUUGCGCCACUGCACUCCAGCCUGGGCAACAGAGUGAGACUCCAUCUCAAAAAAAAAAAAAAAAAAAAAAAAAAAGAAAAGAAAAAUUAGCUGGGCGUGGUGGCAAAUGUCUGUAGUCCCAGCUACUCGGAAGGCUGAGGCAGGAAAAUCGCUUGAACCCGGGAGGCAGAGGUUGCAGUGAGCCGAGACUGUGCCACUGCACUCCCGCCUGGUGACAGAGCCACACUCUGUCUCAAAAAACAAAAAACAAAAAAAAAAAAAAAAAGAAAAUGAGGCUGACAGCUGGAACACUAACAAAAUAAUGAGAAUACUAUUUAAUGAUUCAACUAAAGCAGCAAUAAAAUAAUACUGGGCGUACAGGGGAGAGAAAAUGGGGCUGUAAAAAGGGCUUAAGUCUUCAUUAAGUAAAGCAAGUAAUGAAGAUAAACACUGCUGUAUGAAUAUUAUGUCACUGCUAAUGAGUUACUAUAUUAAAGCAAAUAAGAGGAGAUAUUACAUAGUAAUAAUAGAUGCUAUUACGACCUUAUUUUCUUAGGUGUGAUUAUGGAAUUGUGGUUAUUUCAGAGCAUGUUUUUUCCUUAGGCAAACUGAAGAAUUCAUAUGUUAAACUGGGUUACAAAAACAAAACAAGACAAAUAUUAACAAUUAUUGAAUCAAAGUUGAUGGAUACACAGGUGUUCACUGCACUAUCAACUUUUUGAUCUUUUCAACUUUUUCAUUAAACAAUAUUAAAAACUGAUAUGGUAGAGAGAAGAAAAUGUAGAGGCAAACAAAAUAUACCGUAAAUAAAAGUAAUUGCCAGAGACACAAACUGUAAAAAAAAAAACAAAAAGAACUCUUAUAAUUUUCUAUAUCAGAAAAAUAUAAUUUUUUAAAAAGCCACAAAUCUACCUAGAAAAGAACAGGUAAGGUAUUCAGAGGCACUUUUGAGGUAUUUGAUCGUUGAUGUCUACGGUCAGAGCAUCUACUGUAUUUUAAAUGUCACCGCAUGGUUAACAAAGUCUGUCUUAUAAAACUUAGGCGAAAGGUAUAUGGGUGUUUAUUACUAUUAGCCUUUAAACUCUAUAUGUACUCUUUUGCAUUAUGAUAGUCUUUGUUAAACAAAAUGCCCAAAUUAGUUUUUUUUUUUUUUGAGAUGGAGUUUCCCUCAGUUGCCAUGGCUAGAGUGCAAUGGCACAAUCUGGGCUCGCUGCAACCUCUGCCUCCCGAGUUCAAGCCAUUCUCCCGCCUCAGCCUCCCCAGAAGCUGGUAUUACAGGCGCGUGCCCGGCUAAUUUUUUGUAUUUUUAGUAGAGAUGGGGUUUCACCAUGUUGACCAGGCUGGACUUGAACCCCUGACCUCAGGUGAUCCACCCGCCUUGACCUCCCAAAGUGCUGAGAUUACAGGCAUGAGCCAGCACACCCAGCCCCAAAUUAGUUUUCUAAAGAAUAUAUUUAGAACACGUAUGUAGCUCACGCCUAUAAUCCCUGCAUUUUGGGAAGGUGAUGUGGGCAGAUUUCUUGAACUCAGUAGUUCAAGACCAGCCUGGGCAACAGAAUGAGACCCCGUGCCUAUGAAACAUUUAAAAAUUAGGCCGGGCACAGUGGCUCAGGCCUGUAAUCCCAGCACAUUGGGAGGCCGAGGUAGGUGGAUCACCUGAGGUGGGGAGUUCGAGACCAGCCUGACCAACAUGGAGAAACUCCAUCUCUACUAAAAAUACAAAAUUAGCCGGGUGUGGUGGUGCAUGCCUGUAAUCCCAGCUACUUGGGAGGCUGAGGCAGGAGAAUCGCUUGAACCCGGGAGGCGGAGGUUGCGGUGAGCUGAGAUAAUGCCAUUGCACUCCAGCCUGGGCAACAGAGCAAGACUCCGUCUGAAAAAAAAACAACAAAAAAAAAAUUUAAAAAUUAGCCAGGAAUGGUGGCAAGCACCUGUAGUCCCAGUUACUCCAGGGACUGAGGUGAGAGGAUCAUACUGAGCCUGGCAGGCUGAGGCUGCAGUGAGCUGUGAGCAUGCCACAGUACUCCAGCCUGGGUAAUACAGUGAGAACCCUGUCUCAAUUAAAAAAAUAAAAAAUUAGUAUAUGAAACAUCAAGGACUAUUAUACAUUUUUUUUUUUUUGAGACAGGGUCUCACUCUAUUGCCCAGACUGGAGUGCAAUGGCACGAUCUUGGCUCACCACAACCUCCGCCUCCCAUGCUCAAGUGAUUCUCCUGCCUCAGCCUCCAGAGUAUACCUGGGAUUAUAGGCACGCGCCACUACCGCCUGGCUAAUUUUUGUAUUUUUAGUAGAAAUGGGGUUUCACCAUGUUGGCAAGGCUGGACUUGGAACUCUUGACCUCAAAUGAUCACCUGCCUUGGCCUCCCAAAGUGCUGGGAUUACAGGUGUGAGCCCCCAUGCCUGUCCUAUUAUAGCUUUUAUGGCACAGCUUAGGCACCAUGUUCCGGGAAAUUUGUUCCGCCAAAUUGAGUAUUAAUUAUAUAUGAGACAUAGGAUAAUUAGUAAUAAAUAUGUCUUCAAACAAUCUUCUCACCUAAAAAUCAGAAAAACUUUCUCACUGAAGAGUAUAUUACUCUUUCUAUUCUAAAGAAAAAAAUGUUAAAAGUAUAGAUUUCAGUGAAUACAAUGUCAGCAAACAAAAAAUGUAUUCUUAACUCUAAGAAGUAAUAAAUAAAUUUCAAUCAUACCAUCUUCUUCAUCCUCAGCUUCUUCUGCUUCCAUAGGGUCAUAUUCAUCUUGAUUGUUAUCUUCUUCAGUUUCAUCAUCAUCUUUAGAAUCAUCUUUUCUUUUAUCUUCUUUCUAUAAUUUAAAAUGCCUUUAUUAUUUAUUUACUUAUUUUUAGAAGACGGGGUUUUGCCAUAUUGCCCACGCUGGUCUCCAACCCGUGGGCUCAAGCGAUCCACUGGCCUGGGCCUUCUGAAGGGCUAGGAUUAUAGGCGUGAGCCACCACAGCCAGUAGUUAUAUUAUUAUUAUAUUAUCAUAACAAUUAUUAUAUAUUAUUACAUAUAUAUAUGGUUUUUUUUUUUUUGAGAUGGAGUCUGGCUCUGUCGCCCAGACUGGAGUGCAGUGGCACAAUUUCCCUUCACUGCAACCUCCACCUCCCAGGUUCAAGUGAUCCACCCACCUCAGCUUCCCAAAGUGCUGGGAUUACAGGUGUGAGCCACUGUGCCUGGCUUAAAAUGGUUUUAAAUUAAGCAAGAAAUCCCACCACACAUUAAAUUACUAAAACUGAAAAAUAGUAAAUCCACUGAAGUUAUUUAAAAGUUUUACAUUGCAAAUUACUUUUUUUUUUUUGUUUUUUUUGAGACACAGUCUCACUUUGUUGCUCAGGCUGGAGUGCAGUGGCACAAUCUGGGCUUACUGCAGCCUCCAACUCCUGGGUUCAGGCAAUCCUCCUGCCUCACCCUCCCAAGUAGCUGGGACCACAGGCACAUGCCACCAUGUCCAGCUAAUUUUCCUAAUUUUUGUAGAGAGGGGGUUUCACCAUGUUGUCCAGGAUGGUCUUGAACUACUGGAGUCAAGCAAUCUGUCCACCUUGGACUCCCAAUGUGCUGGGAUUAUAGCAGCGAGCCACUAUGCCCAUACUAUAAAUGUAUAAUAAUAAUUAGGCUGGGUGCGGUGGCUCACAUCUGUAAUACCAGCACUUUGGGAGGCUGAGGUGGGCAGAGCGCUUGAGGUCAGGAGUUCAAGCCUGGCCAACAUGGUGAAAACCUGCCUCAAAAAAACAAAAAACAAACAAACAAAAAAAUUAGCUGGGCAAGGUGGUGUGCACCUGUAGUCUCAGCUACUUGGGAGACUGAGGCAGGAGAACUGCUUGAACCUGGGAGGGAGAGGUUGCAGUGAGCCAAGAUUACGCCACUGCACUUCAGCAAGCCUGGUCAACAGAGCAAGACUCCGUCUCAGAAAAAGGAAAAAAAAAUUUUAAGAAUAAAGUAUUAGAAAACUAGCUGUAGAUGCUCAUAUUGGCUUAAUUUGAAGAUCUGAAUUUCUUAUCUUUUUUUUUGAGAUGGAGUCUCGCUAUGUCACCCAGGCUGGAGUGCAGUGGUGCAAGCUUGGCUCACUGCAACCUCCACCUCCCAGGUUUAAGCAAUUCUCCUGCCUCUGCCUCCCCAAUAGCUAGGACUAUAGGCAUGUGCCAUCAUGUCAGGCUAAUUUUUUGGAUCUUUAGUGGAGACGAGGUUUCACUGUGUUAGCUGUGAUGGUCUCAAAGACUUGAUUUUCUAAUAUAGUAAAAUCUUUCAGUUUGGCUUUUACAUCUAAUAUUCUGAUGGAAAUCAACAUCAACCUUUAUAACCUAGAAGAGUAACUGAAAGCUUCUAAAGCAGGUUGUUAUUACAGACCUUCCUUUCAUCUCUAUCUUCUUUUUUAUCUUUAUC